GACCUCGGAUCAGGUAGGAAUACCCGCUGAACUUAAGCAUAUCAAAAGGCGGAGGGGA
rnacentral:rRNA from 1 species